CCUGUUGAAAGAGGGUAACCUGUUGAAAGAGGGAACCUGUUGAAAGAGGGAACCUGUUGAAAGAGGGAACCUGUUGAAAGAGGGAACCUGUUGAAAUAAUGCAUACUUGCUGUAAGAAUAAUGCAAAGUAUACGGAACAAUCUAAUUAGCCUAAAUAUUGAGAACCGUUUAAAUUUCAGUAAAAACAGAGCUAUUCUGUUGUGUGUGCAUGCGUGUGCAUCUGUGUGUGUUUCAGCCUUGAUUAUUUGUAUACAAUUUUCCCAAUUACUUUUGCAAUAUCAUAUGCAUAGAUUGCUUGUUUCUGUAGGAACCUUCAUGUCUCUUUGUUUGCAUGUCUCUUUCUCUCUUUCCUMUCUGGCCUCAGUCCUUCAAACACUGGUGAAAAACAAGACUAUGCAACAAGCAUCAGAGACAAAAGGCUUACCCAGCACAUCAGACUCACCUAUGAUUCAUGAGUUGACCUACACUGAACCCAAAGUAGACUAAUGAUCCACAGGUAGAGGCAACGUCUCAGUGAUGAUACUGAAGACAGCAAACCAAACCAUGCCAGAUUCACCGGAAGGACUUUGGUUUCCAUGUUGACUUGCAAACUACUGAACCACUUAUACUUGAUGUCCUAUGGUGGGAAAACGAUUAAACAAAUCUGACAGAGAUGGGAUACCAUUACACAGACAGAUAACGGGACAGGAAAYAAACAUAGCCAAGUUAAAAUAAUGCCGCUUCAUAUCGACCAAAACCAUUGCAGCUGAAAUCACUUCACAGCCGCGUGGUCGUGUGUCUGGUCAGUUGAAUMCUAUGCAAUGUCUGAUAUUUUGACCUUCUCAUCACCUGAUUAUAGUAACUGAAUUUGUCUGAUAUGUCUUUGCUUUACAAUCAAUGUCCUUGUCUUCCGAUAAGGGAGUGUGUGGGCUCAAUGCUUCAACAAUAGGCACAGUGUUCUAGUCUUAGACUUCUUUGUUUUUGUUUUCACAUACUUCAUUGUGCUGAAUUGAAUAUUUAUUCAUCGUUGUCUUUUGUUUCUUUUUUUUUAUUUGAACAUGUUUUUUUKUCUUUUUGUCUUGUAAAAUUGUAUUAUAGUCAGAUCUAGGCUGUAUUAAAAUGAAAUUGCCACAUACCUCUACUGUAAGUUAGAUUUUAAUGCAGUGGGUCUUGGAAUCCUAGUGAGAUCAUUUUCCAAUGGUAAAUACUGCUACUAUGUAUUUAACCAAUAAUUUAAAUGGAAUGAGAAACGGAGUAAGUGCUACUUAUUGUAGUUGUGAGUUAGCAAUGCAAUAAGAUAUUUAAAUAACAUUCCAUUAUUAUUAUUAUUAUACAUGUACAUAUGUUGUACUCUCAAAAGCACAUAAAGUUGUACCAAUU